CUUAAAUCCAUAAGAAUAAGUUGAAGUAGUGAGAAUAGUUGAAAAAGUGAAAUGACAUCUUGAUCAGGGACACAAUGACUAAUGUACCCCAGUGGGAUUUGAACCAGGAUCUCCCACACCAAAGUCAUGUGUCCUAUCCACUACACUAUCAUCUGUAUAGAUCACAAAGCCUGUCUUUGAUCAUUAAUCAUCACACCUGCUAAUGAGUGAGAGACAGUGUGAGAGAACCGUAGGUUCUUUAUUUAGAACUGUAGGUGAAAGUAUGGAGGGGCUGAAAAUGUUGGGAGCGGAAGAAAAUUUGAAGGAUUUGAAGCAUGAUCUCAUUGACUUCAAUGUUAAAAAAAGUGUUAAAAAGCUUAAUAUUUUAAAAAGUAUUAAUAGUAGAAAAAAAGUUGAAGAAGUCCAGUCAUUAGCUGAAAGAGCUGAACAUUUUAAAAGUUGAAUGGUUUUAAUAGCUCAACGUAAGCAGAAGUUACGGAGAGCCAAAAAACGUACGGAAGAGGGAAUAAAAACAAGAAACAGAAACAGACAAACAGACAGAGACAGACAGACAUACAGAGAGAAACAAACAGAGACAGAGAGAGAGACAGAGACAGGGAGAAACAGAGACAGAGACAGACAGAGAGAGACAGGGAGAAACAGAAACAGACAGACAGAGAGACAUAGACAGACAGAGAGAGACAGAGACAGACAGACAGACAGACAGACAGAGAGAAACAAACAGACAGACAGAGAGACAGAGAGAGACAGAGACAGGGAGAAACAGAAACAGACAGACAUAGACAGGGAGAAACAGAGACAGAAAGACAGAGAAAAACAGAGAGAGAUAGAGAGAGAGACAGAGACAGACAGAGAGAUACAGAGACAGACAGAGAGACAGAGACAGAGAGACAUAGAAAGACAGAGAGAGACAGAGACAGACAGAGCGAGACAGACAGGGAGACAGAGACAAACAGAGAGAGACAGACAGACAGACCGAGACAGAGAGAAACAAACAGAGAGACAUGGACAGACAGAGAGAGACAUAGACAGGGAGAAACAGAAACAGACGGAGACAGACAGACAGAGAGAAACAAACAGACAGACAGAGAGACAGAGAGAGACAGAGACAGGAGAAACAGACAGACAGAGACAAGGAGAAACAGAGACAGACAGAGACAGACAGAGAGAAAGAGAGACAGAGACAGACAGAGAGAGACAGAGAGACAGAGACAGAGACAUAGACAGACAGAGAGAGACAGACAGAGACAGACAGAGAGACAGAGAGAGACAGAGACAGACAGACAGACAGAGACAGACAGACAGACAGACAGAGACAGAGACAGACAGACAGAGAGACAGAGACAGAGAGAGACAGAGACAGAGAGACAGAGACAGACAGAGAGAGACAGAGAGAGAGAGACAGAGACAGACAGAGAGAGACAGAGACAGAGAGACAGAGACAGACAGAGAGAGACAGAGACAGAGACAGACAGAGAC
rnacentral:lncRNA from 1 species